UUUUAUUUAUUUGUUUAUUUCUAAAUUAGUUCGUGUAUCAGUGUAUUUAUGUAGACGAGGAUUAAGCUCUGUACAAGGUGCGCAAGCCGCACGUCUUUGUGACGUGGCAGUGGGGAGGUGAGGUGAGGUGGCAGCAGGGUGAUGAGGUGGCGACGAACUGUCAGCCAGGGUUAGUUGCUGUCCGCCCCUACCUGAAGUGUGUUGUGAUGGAUCACUGGAUGUAACAUUUAUUCAAUACUUGGGAUUAUUGUAUUAUGCUGGUAUGUAUGGCUAUGUUUGGUUAUAAUAGUACUGUGUGGGGGUUUAUCAGCUGGUGUUCACUUCAAACAUUUGUGAUGUUCAUCGACAAAAUGUUUGUAUUAGUGAUGAUCUUUUAUGAUGACAGUGUUAAUGUGAUUGUGCGGUCGGCUAUUAAGAUUGAUAGUUACUCAGGGAAUAUUUCAUGUAUUACAGUUUGAAUCCAAUUACUGGUUCGGAAAGUUCAUGGAGGCAAUCCAUAUGCGGCUGGAGCUACCGUUGUUUGCUUCAUGGUAAUCAUCAGUGUUUCCUUUGCUAAAAUGAACCUAACACAUAGCUCGGGGUAGGGCCAACUCGGCCCUUUUCCAUCUCGGCCCAUUAUGAAAAGGCAACUCGGACCAUCUUGUGGACCAACUCGGACCAUUCUCAUUUUCUGAAAUACCAAGUCGGACCACCAUGUUUGCCGACUCGGACCAUCAUAAACUGUGGGCAGUGUUGCCAACCUCUACAGACGUCUCCGCCCUACACACUUACUGAAAUUACCCUACAUUUGCCUUCAUUACCCUACGACUCGGGAGGAAAAAACAAAUUGUCAUAAUACUGGCGCAGCCGUAAUUAUUAAAUUAUUAUUAUUAAAAUUCCACUGUAAACUACAUGUAAGCAAUACAUAAGCUAAUUAUCUCUUUAAUCACGAAUCAGUAACCGCUUCAUUUGAGCGUGGGAAAAAAAUCUCGACAAGCUGCACGUGGCUUCACGUAUGAACGUGUAUUAUCACUACAUUUGUUAGAUUCAAACCAUCAUAAACUAUCGCACAGAGGGGAGCAGGUCGUUUCGGCCGUGAGCACUCUAGGCCUAGAGUCGUUUAGGCCGUGAUCCCUUUACGCCGAGAGUCGUUUAGGCCGCGACUCUGUAGGCCGUGGGUCGUUUAGGCCGUAAUACUGAGAUCCUUUUUAUAGUUUUUAUAGUGCAGUCGAUGCUGGAGGACUACUGUGGAGGCGAGAAGUGUGACGUGAUUGCAUGCUAAUGAGUUUUAUUGAUACUCUUGAUAAUGUAUCGAGAGAUCGAUACCUCCAUAAAAUAAAGAUAAUAAAUGGAAGAGACCUAUAUACAGUGGAAGAGACCUAUAUGCUGUGGAAACUAUGUUCCGUAGCGUACAUACACACAUAUUAAUCGUUUUAUGAGGUACUGCAGGAAGUGCACGAAACCCAGUCAUUGAAAAUACCGGGUUUCACCGCUCCCAUUAAUCAGCUCAAGAUACACCAUUAUCACAUUUCCUGUUCUGCCACCUCUCACACCUGUGUCGCACAGCAAACCUUGCCGUGUCCGUACAAGUGCAAUUACAAUUACGAAACCUACAUACUAAUUUUGAAACAGUCUCAAUUAGUUAAUUCAAAAUACUACUAAAUUCGAAACCUAUAAUUUCGAAAGUCUCAAAACACUGUCUUGCUUACUUAGUUGAUGUGUUGAAAUCAAAUUCUGCGUAUUCGUUAUUCCCUCACACCUCAUCGCUCAGGAUGCCUACCACAUUUCCUCGUGUUGUUUGCUCUCGACGUGUACGAUUCAACCAGCAUGCUUUGCAGUGUGACCAUUGUCAAGAACGGCAGCACAGACUCUCGGCCUAAAGGGAUCACGGCCUAACCAACUUGAACUCGGACAGAGAAGAGUGCUUCACACACUUGUCAGAUUCAAACCAUCAUAAACUAUCGCACAGAGAAGAGUGCUUCACACAUGUGUGAUUCUUCGUUCACUCACACGAUGUCCAGGCCAGAUAUCACUUGUACACGGCAGAAGGCAGUCACGGCAGAAGGCAGUCUGAUCAUGGACAAGUGUUUGGUGUGCAAAGACGUAGCGCGUCCUCGACAGGAGGCAUUGUUGUGUGAUGGAUGUAAAUCGUGGCAACACAGAACCUGUAAGGCUGGGAUUUCAAGGGAGGACUAUAGAAGAGCUGUAAGGGAGGGUCUUGACGUGAAUUGGAGCUGCACAACUUGCUCUUCUGUACAAGACAUCGCUGUACAUGACUGCCCUGAGGAUCAUCUACCUACUCCGACCCAGGCGUUAGUCACGGUUAGUGGAUGAUAUAAAUUCUGAAACUUGUCUAGACGAAGACACCUUGGACAACGACACUUUGGACUGCUCUGAGGCUCAUCCACCUAUUAUAACGUAUGAAAAAAUGUGUGCAUCUUCACAAAGGGGCAAACAAACUUCUGGACAGUCUACGAUUUUCAUACACAUUUAAAAGAAAAACAAAUGUUGGUGUUCAUUGGCGCUGUGCAGUGCGUACGUAAUAAAAAGGUUACCUGUAACAUGAUGGUAAAGGAAGUGAACGGAGUGUUUAUCAGAGGAGCCAACGAACAUUCACACCCACCGGAAGCAUGUCCUUUGACUACAAGCAUGGUUUCAAAGUUAAUUAAAGACAAAGCAAUGGAUGCUGUAUUUCGCCCAGCUUUAGAAAUCGUGGAGGAAGUGCUUCUUGAGCACGUUGAUCCAACAAAGCCUACUGCCUCGCUACCUGCACCGGUGAAUCUAGCUCGCCAAGCAAACAGGAAGCGGCGAGCUAACAGACCUGCUGAGCCCAGUGACCUAACUUUUUGUAUUAGUGAGGAGCACAUUCCACCUAAAUUUCUUAAAGCAGAUAUAAGUAUAGGGGACAGACGCCACCUAUUGUUUGCAACACAAGAACAGCUUCAGUUACUUGCUAAAGCAAGAAACUGGUAUGUUGAUGGAACUUUUAAAGUAGUGAGGCGACCCUUUACCCAGCUUUUUAGUAUUCACGCAUUUAUGAAGUGCGAUGGUAACGUAAAACAAACGCCUCUGUUGUUUGUGUUAAUGUCGGGUAAGAGAUGUAAAGAUUAUAGGAUAAUUUUUAGUAAACUCAAAGAAAUUUUAGAUGGACAAUUAAAAGUAAAAGAAGUUAUCCUUGAUUUUGAACAAAGUAUUUGGCGUGCUAUCCCAGAAGUUUUCCCACAUGUAGUUAUGCGUGGUUGUGCAUUUCACUGGGGAGAAGCAGUUUGGAGGAAGGCGCAAGUUCUUGGCCUCCAGUCUGCUUACACACAUGAUAGCAAAACCUACAAAUUUGUAAGACAGCUGUUUUCUCUGCCGUAUGUACCUGAUGAUCACAUAGAAGGACUUUUUAUAAGAUUCUGUAGAAAAGCAGCUGGGUCACAACCACUCUUAUUUAGAGUACAUAAACAGUACAUGGAUUACGUCAGAAAUGUGGCCUCCCAAAGUUUGGUGUGUAUUUGAUCGAAGUGUAAGAACUAACAAUGACGUUGAAGGAUGGCAUUACAGACUUAAUAUGAAAGCACGUCAAGGCCAACUGAACUUCUAUACUUUAAUAACCCUACUACACACACAGGCUAGACUUGUAACGCUUCAUGUAAAGUUUAUAAAUGAUGGAAAGGUGUUGGCGUCACCAAAAAAAUAAAUAUACAAAACACGGACGACUAGUCAUGCUUUGGGAGGAAUUUUCUCUGGGCACUAGAACAGCAAAAAGCUUACUGAAAGCUGCCUCUCAUCAUAUUGCUGUGAAUAUGUAAUGACUUGAUUUUUCAUGAAAUACUCUAUAGUUUUAUUUUCUAAACUGACUUUUGCAUGUUUUUAGACUACAAUUUUAAUUGUAUUUUACUGACUUUUGCAUGUUUUUAGAGCAUAAUUUUAAUUGUAUUUUAUCGUGAAAUAAGUCAAUUUUGAGCUGCUGAAUUAUUAUUUAACUUUUAAACAUGGUCCAAGUUGGUGGUCCGAGAUGGUUAUCGUGGUCCGAGUUAGUAUAGACCAGGGCCGAGUUGGUGAUGGUCCGAGUUGGGGGUGUAGCCUACAGCUCUACUGACUAUUUAAUUUCAUUGUCUACCACCAUUCUCACUAACAGCGGCGAAAAGAGACUGGGUUAUAACCCAAUCAAUUUCUCUCUUCUUUUCUACUGACUGUAUUAUUUUAGUGUCCACCUCCACAUCUAGCAAAAAAAAAAAAAAAAAAGUAUAACCAAGGGAAUUUGUCUCCACGUCUCCACUGACUAUUUAGUUUCUGAAGUGGAAAGCAUUAGUACACACUCUGUUCGCUAGAAUACACGUCAUCGACUGUCACAGUAUUUACCACCAGGCAGUAAUGGAAAUCUUGUCAAUAAAUCCUUUGUGAUGUGUGACGCCAAACCAACGACAUCUACAACAAUUUUCUUUUUUUUUUUUCAUUAAUUUGUUCUUUUACUCUCUUUUUUCACAUGACUGGGAAAGUUUACAUCCCUUAGUAUUUUCUCCCUAUCAUAUUACACUUUUUGAUUCACUCCUUGUCUGAUAACUUUAAACUUACCUAUCAGAUUUUUGAGAAA